rnacentral:rRNA from 1 species
UACAACUUUCAACAAUGGAUCUCUUGGCUCUCGCAUCGAUGAAGAACACAGCGAAAUGUGAUAAGUAAUGUGAAUUGCAGAAUCCAGUGAAUCAUCGAAUCUUUGAACGCAUCUUGCGCUCCUUGGCAUUCCGAGGAGCAUGCCUGUUUGAGUGUCAUUAAACUAUCAAAACAC